rnacentral:lncRNA from 1 species
AAAAUAUAUAAAAAUAACAUUUCUCAAUACAGAAUAUUUACUUACAUUCAAUGAAAGAGAGGUUUAAUUAGUGCACUAUUAACUUUUCAACCGCAUUUAGUUUCUUUCUCCAGUGGAAAGCCCAGCUGCUAAUAAUCAGAGCACUUUACCUGUUAUUCUCUUCUUCUCUCCCAAGUCUAUCUCCAACCAUUCACGACUACUGCUGUGGUUAGAGGCCCAAGCCAGUCCCAGGACUUGAAGCCACGCCUUGUCAGGAGUCCACUGGAAUAGCUGUCCAAAUUCAUUGGUCUCCUCCCAGUAGGAAGAUGCAGUGAUCUGGCUCUUGGAGAGGAAUCCCUCUUCCAGACUGAGAGAUCUAUUGCAGCCAUUUGAAGUAAACAUAAACCGCUUAUCUGACAGCGAACCAUCAUGUGAGGAAAUACCAUUGGCGACAACACCUUCAUAGCGGCUGAUACCCUUCUGCUGGGUGACACUGAUCUGACCGCCCAGUUCAUCUGCAAUAACACCUGCAUGUAUCGCUGACUUGCACAGCAGUGAGGUAUCUCUGUAUCCUUCUUC